GUGGGCUGCAGCUUGAAUUUGUCAGGAGGACAGAAGCCAGUCACCUUCCCUACCUGUAUGCAGCGUGGAGCAAAUGACAACAGCAUUGUCAAAGGAGUGUCCAUUUUCUCACCCGGAUGUAGAGACCCUCCUGACCCAUUACAGGCUUCAUCACGGUCACCAGGGAAAAAGCUGGCUCUGCCUCCACCCCAAGUGCAUGUGCAUCUUUAAGACUUCAGGAUGCAGAUGCUGAGGAGGACUAGAGGCAUGAAAAUGGGAAUCUUGACCGUCAUUGAAGACGACCUCGCCAUGAAAGCACCAGACACUGUCACCAAUAUCACCAUCGUCCUGGAAGAGACUGUUGUUCUACAGGACAUCAAGGAUCUUCCA